GUUAACGUAAGGUAGAAAAAGGGCAAAAAAAAAUGGAAGAAAAGGGGGCGUUUGUUUUGGUGCCCCGAAAGCAGAAGGCAAAAACUCUUCAUCAGGGGAAGAGGCGCGGAGCGGAGAUUAAUCUACAGAUCCCAUUUCACUCCAAUUCCUCUCCUCUUUGAAUUUCAAGGCGCCAACUCCUCUCUCUCUCUCUCUCAUCCUCUUCCGCUCAAUUCCGUUUCUCUCUCUUCUUAACUGCACCUUCUUUUCUUCUUCUUUCAUGCAACUAUCCUUAUAGCUUCUCAUUUUCUCUGAUAAUACUCCCCCUCCCCCACCCCCACCCCCACCCCUUUUCACAGCGCCCUUCUUUAAAACCCUAACGUUUGUUUUCUUCUUCACUUUCCCUUCCGUGUUAGGGUUUCGCUAAAUUCUCAAAAUUUCCAACCCUGACCCGACAUGCUUCUUCUUAAAUGGAUUGUAGUUUUAUAGAUCUCUGCAUCCAUCAAUGGCUGUCGUAACUAGCAACGGUAAGCGCCGCCAGCAGUGGCUGACCGCGAAUCACAACUUUCCGUCGCCCAAUUCUUGUAGAUCGAAAAGACUCAGAGUCUCAACCAUGUCCCACAGUCACACUCAACCGGUGAUAUCUUCGAGUAGCAUGGUUUCUAGAAUUUCCAGGUAUCCCGAAGCCAAGCCACCAUUGCACAGGGAGGUUCACGCGCCGUGUAGACCGCAUAAGUUUGAAUUGUCGACCAGUUCUAGAAUAGAAUCAAGCUUGAUGGCUAGUGGUUAUUCUCAGAAAGAGGAGAACUGUAACGAUAUGGGAAAUAUGUUGUGUAAAAAUUACCAACGGGCAAAAAAUUCUGCAUUAGCUUCCAUUAGGUUUUGGGAAAAGGGCAAGGAGGUGGUAGAAAUGGAUACUGAUAGUCACAGGCGAACGGUUUCGGAAGAUUCGAGUGUGGAAGAGGUUCGUUUUGUAGAAGAUGGUCGAGAAGUGCGCUCUCCGAUGACAGAUCACAAGUGGCAAGAGAGUGAUUUGGUUGUGACUGAGAUAAAGGAUUUGGAUGUUAAGGUUGUUAAUGGUGGUCCUCAGCAGCAAUCAACUUCGUCCGUGGUUUCUGAGUUGACUAACGGUAAUUUGAAUGCGGUUAAUGCUGCGAAGAUGUUGGACACUUUGUCUCUAAGUCCCGAGCGUGAUCUUUCAAGUGUUCAUGCCUACAAGAAAUUGCUUGAGGCUGUUGGUAAGCGAACGGAUACAAUUAACAGGCUGAAGGUUGAAAUUCAACUUAACGAGAAGCGUAGGUCAACGUUUGAUCUGUUGCGCCCAAAGAAGGAGCAUGUAAAGGAAGAACCAUUGGAACCUUUUAUUCUUCUUACUAAGGAGGAAGAAGCUGAGGUUGCACGUGCCUUUGCUGCCAACAGGAAGAAGGUCUUGGUUUCCCAUGAGAAGUCUAACAUUGCGAUUUCAGGUGAAAAGUUUCAGUGCCUUAGGCCUGGGGCAUGGUUAAAUGAUGAGGUGAUUAAUUUGUACCUUGAGUUACUGAAAGAGAGGGAGAGAAGGGAGCCGCAGAAGUUUCUGAACUGCCAUUUUUUCAAUACCUUUUUCUACAAGAGGUUAACAAGUGGCAAGAAUGGUUAUGAUUUCCAAUCUGUGAGGAGAUGGACCAGCCAAAGGAAAUUGGGAUAUGGCUUACAUGAAUGUGAUAAAAUAUUUGUACCUAUCCAUAAAGAGAUCCAUUGGUGCUUGGCUGUUAUCAAUAAGAAAGAUAGGAAAUUUCAGUAUCUGGACUCGCUGAGAGGAAUGGAUAUCCAAGUGCUGAAAAUGCUGGCUAGAUAUUUUGUAGAUGAAGUAAAGGACAAGACUGGAGAAGAUUUUGAUGUAAGCUCUUGGGAAAGAGAAUUUGUUGAAGACCUUCCUGAGCAGCAGAAUGGGUAUGAUUGUGGGGUGUUUAUGAUCAAAUACGUUGACUUCUAUAGCAGAAACGUGGGGCUGUGUUUCAGCCAGGAACACAUGCCUUACUUCCGGCUCAAAACAGCUAAGGAAAUCUUGAGAUUGAAAGCUGACUAAGCAAAAUAAUGACCAUUUAUCAGCAUUCCAAUACCUAGUCCAUACAAGAUUUUGGGCAUGAGAAAUUGAAACAAUCAUUAAUGUCAAAUCAGCAAGGAACUUUUUGGUGAAGGAUCCUUCACUUCUGUCACUAUCUUGACAAUAGUUAUUCAAGAGUUCUGGCAUUUGUUAGACUGGACUGGGAAGGAUUACGCAUAUCCUUCCCCUGGUACAGCACGAUGGCACGGUAGAAUGCAGUAGGUUAUAUAUGCCACGCAAAGAGCACUUCAUGUUGAGCAACUUAAGAGCGAUGAAGAAAACGGGGAAUUACUAUGCUGUUGAUUAUGACAUGCUGUGAUUUUAUAUGAAGCAAUGUUGUGCAGCAUUUUAGAGUAUGUUUAGGAUAACUGAUUGUAGGAAUUGGAUUUGAUUUAUAAAUAAUGUGUGUAAUUUUAUGACUAUGGAAUGAGUAAGGAUGAUAUCUUCACAAUUUUUGGUAGAGUAUUAUAAUAUUGAUCUUUAUGGUUGCAUU